AGUUCAAACCCAUGUGGUCCAGACACAAAGGAGAGAAGAUUUAAAAUGCUGUUCAGUCACUUUGGAAGUGAGGGCCCUUUAUUUCUGCUCCGUGAACUGAAACUUCACUAAAUUCCUAAAGGACUUUUGCAAACUCAUCCAUUUUUUACAAGUGAAGCUGCCGUGCUUGGUGUACAAAGACACAAAGAUGACACAAAAGUCUUCUAGUUUUAUCUGGUUUGCCUUCUAGUUUGACACCAAAAUGUACAAUUUAAGUUCAAUUCAGUAUGUAACACAUUUAUUUGGGUUUCAAUUGUCAAACAUUGUUAAAGGGGUAGCGAAAAAUAGCCAAUCCACACUGUCAUACUUGUCUGUACGAGUGGGUGUGUUUGUGGGUCUGUCUGCAUGUCUUUCUCCCCCUGCAGGUUGGCCCUGGAAACCCCUUUCACCUGGUUUCCCUCCAACUCACCUACUGCUGAUUACUCUGAUUGCCACCGCUCACUCACUCCUGUCUGAAAGCCUGGAGCAGCUCACCACUAUUCACCAGAUUGUUUUGUCUUCAUUUGUCCCUGCUCAGCUCUUGAUCCCAGCCACGAGCCACUGCACUGCGGAGGAAACUUGAACUGUGCCCAGCUCCUGUGAAUAUCAGUCACAAACAACUCUGUCCUGGUUCUCCACACAAACAAGCAAACACACACACACACACACACACACCCGGACCCAGGAGUAGACGUGCCAAAACAAACGACCGAGGAUCAAGUUCAGUUUUGCAUUAAAAUGUGACAUUUUAAAGAAGUUUCAAAAGGAAAUGUAUUCCAUGUCCAUUUCAGUGUUAUUAAGAUUUUAUCUAAAGCUUGGUAAUUUAACACAAGGCUAUGUAAAGUCAUGUCUGAGGCAUUUCCUAAUGUGUCUAGAUUAACUGCUUCCAGAUUAAAUAAAAACUUGAUGUUCUCCA